UAUUUUUAUAAAAAACCCAAAUUCUCUCUCUUCUCCCUCACGCGACCACGGAUCUCCCCCCUCGAUUUUUUUCUUUUUUCCCUGCUCGCCAGCUGCCCGUCCUCCUCAGCCCAUCGUCCAGACCGUCGCCGCUUGAACCUAGUAGCCGAUCUCCAUAACCGCUCGCUGUUGAUCGACUGUAGCCGUCGCGUCGACCCCCCCUUCGGUCAAUCUCGCCAGCCAAGCUUCUCCUGCCCAGCGCUGCUCCUCUGCGUGUCAUCCAAGAGCCGACCAACACCGCUGCAGUAGUCGUUCCUUUUGCUAGACGCAUCUGCACCCGAGACGCCGCCGCCAGGCGCCGCUCCUUUCCUUCAAUCGACCAGAUCUACGCUGGAUUCAUUAGCUCCGCGCGCCGGAUUCCUCUUGUCGUCACUGUGGUUCUUGUGCUGUCAUCAGAUCUAUCAAUUUGGGUAUUAAGGUGGUGUUAGGUGAAGUUGGAAUUGUUUUAGCAGAUUUGGUGCGCCUUAUAUCACACCUUGGGGUCUUACUUGGAGUUGAUCUGUGGAUUUUCGAUUUAGGUAAAGUUAAAUUGAAGAUCUUUAAAUAAUUUGGUUAAUUGGAUUUAGACCCCAAAGACGAGUUUAAAACUUUGAAUUUAUUAUUUUUGGACCAGGGGUGCUAAAUUAAUAUUUGUAAUGUAUGUUAUAAGGUGGAUUUAAAGCCUUCCAAGAGUUGUAAGGGGGUUAAUUACUUGGAUUAAUUUAUGACCAAAUUUGAGGUACGUAUUCUACUACUGGAGCUGCCCAUGGGCCAGACACUAGAUAUAUGCUAGCAUAAUAGACGAAUAUCAGAAUAGAACGAUAGCAUGAUACAUGGAUAGUAUAGUAUGACCGAUAUAUGUUCUUGUAUGAGAAUUUGCAAGAUUUAUUUGUGUACGUAGAUACUUGCAUGCUAGUAAGAGAUGAUACUUGAUUCACUGGGGUUGUAUUUGAUAUGAGGAUAUUGAGGUGUAUAUACAUGUUGUAUUGCCAUGAUGUUGAGGUGUAUAUGUAUGUUAUGAAAUUAUAUUGUGAUAAUUGUGAUAUUGAGGUUGUGAUAGUGUCUUUAUUGAUUAGUUAGAUGCCCACUAGGUAUUGUGUUUCCUUCGAG